UACGGGGGGGGCAAGCGUUGUUCGGAAUUACUGGGCGUAAAGGGCUCGUAGGUGGCCAACUAAGUCAGACGUGAAAUCCCUCGGCUUAACCGGGGAACUGCGUCUGAUACUGGAUGGCUUGAGUUUGGGAGAGGGAUGCGGAAUUCCAGGUGUAGCGGUGAAAUGCGUAGAGAUCGGGAGGAAUACCGGUGGCGAAAGCGACUCUCUGGACGGCAACUGACGCUGAGGCACGAAAGCGUGGGGAGCAAACAGG
rnacentral:rRNA from 1 species